ensembl:lncRNA
CGGGACACUAUGUGGCCCAGGAUUUGACAGGAUAGGCUAAUCGGGUUGGGAGAGACAGAACGCCAAAUUAUACAGCUGAGACCAAAGUGUGCAACCCUCUCCAGACCCUGUUUCCACCAAGCCUGGCAUUGGACCCAUAUAUUGAAUUCCUUCACCCCCAGUUUUUUCAUCCAUGAACAACACUACACCUAACCUUGUGCGGGGCUUAUUGCUUAUGCCUAAAAGGAAGGAUAUUUCUCUGCUGUACUUAUUCUACCUCCAAGGCUGAUGCUCACAUGACGGUACGUAGCUUAUACAAUCACAUCUCAGACCAAGAUGGCGGCAUUUGUACUUUGAGGCCCAGCGUCCACACAGUUUUUGUAAAUUAGCAGUAAUUUAAUUAAUAGUUCUUAGUUUUCUUAUUGAGUACAGCCUGACAUACAGCCGAAAAGAACUCUUGGACAUUGGAGCACAAUGCACAGAAAGUUUUUGACAACUUCAACAGGAGAUCGCGAAGAUGCCCUGGGAGACGCAAUUUACAUCGUAAAACAUCGUAAAUGUUGUGAUUGUAAACAAUGCGGAGGGAAGCACGGAGGCCUCCGGUCUAGGAUAAUUAUAUUUUUCAUAUUAUUAUUCGGAACCUCAUUCUCUAUCGGGCAUUGGUGUGGAACCGCUUUCUGACCGGGGAGAACCAUGGGACCCAGUCUACUGCCAACCAAUCCACAUCAGGGUCCCAGUCUACUGCCAGACAAUCCACAUCAGGGUCCCAGUCUACUGCCAGACAAUCCAUUUCAGAGACCCAGACUACUGCCAGCCAAUCCACAUCAGGGACACGAUAUACUGCCAGUCAAUCCAAAUGGAAAAGGUGGGUGAGGGAGAAGAGGAGCUUCUUCAGACUUGACUCAUAUACAAAAUAACCACCUUUUUGGUUGUCAAGUACUCCAUAACCAAUAGAACAGCACAAUGGGCAAUGAUGUGUGCCAUAAUUUGCUUCAGGAAAAAGCAAGUCGAAAUGAUUGACUGGGCCUAGAUGUUUCAUGACAGGCUGAUACAGAAUGCAAAUAGAUCAUUGGACUGUAGUCAAAUACUGUGAAGAGAGAACCAUAACUAUCCUGUUUUUUGAGGAGAGGCAGGAUGCAUGAUUGAAAACCACUUCUAUAUACCUAAAGUACAGCUUAUCAUCAGUCCAAAAUACUGGAAUAGUGGACACAAUUGUUUUGGGAUCCAGUAGAGGUGCAGACACAUCCAAGUAUCAACUCUGGGGACUAAGCUUAAAUGUUUUGGUUUUCACAACUUUUACAUUUGGGCUUAUAAACAAUAUGUAAUGUACAUGGAUCAUCUUGUAUUUGGCAUCAAAUUAUUCUAACCUCAGCUAAUAUAAGCAUAAUAUAAGCAAGCUAAUAUAAGCAUGCAUGCUAAUGUACUUAUAAGGUAGUAUUUCAGUGAAAAAUGCAAAAUAAAGUAAAUAAUUUUAAAAGCGA